GACGAACGCUGGCGGCGUGCCUAAUACAUGCGAGUUGAGCGAUGAAGAUUGGUGCUUGCACCAAUUUGAAGAGCAGCGAACGGGUGAGUAACGCGUGGGGAAUCUGCCUUUGAGCGGGGGACAACAUUUGGAAACGAAUGCUAAUACCGCAUAACAACUUUAAACAUAAGUUUUAAGUUUGAAAGAUGCAAUUGCAUCACUCAAAGAUGAUCCCGCGUUGUAUUAGCUAGUUGGUGAGGUAAAGGCUCACCAAGGCGAUGAUACAUAGCCGACCUGAGAGGGUGAUCGGCCACAUUGGGACUGAGACACGGCCCAAACUCCUACGGGAGGCAGCAGUAGUGAAUCUUCGGCAAUGGACGAAAGUCUGACCGAGCAACGCCGCGUGAGUGAAGAAGGUUUUCGGAUCGUAAAACUCUGUUGGUAGAGAAGAACGUUGGUGAGAGUGGAAAGCUCAUCAAGUGACGGUAACUACCCAGAAAGGGACGGCUAACUACGUG
rnacentral:rRNA from 1 species